rnacentral:rRNA from 1 species
GAUGAACGCUGGCGGCGUGCCUAAUACAUGCAAGUCGAGCGAACGGACGAGAAGCUUGCUUCUCUGAUGUUAGCGGCGGACGGGUGAGUAACACGUGGAUAACCUACCUAUAAGACUGGGAUAACUUCGGGAAACCGGAGCUAAUACCGGAUAAUAUUUUGAACCGCUUGGUUCAAGAGUGAAAGACGGUCUUGCUGUCACUUAUAGAUGGAUCCGCGCUGCAUUAGCUAGUUGGUAAGGUAACGGCUUACCAAGGCAACGAUGCGUAGCUGACCUGAGAGGGUGAUCAGCCACACUGGAACUGAGACACGGUCCAGACUCCUACGGGAGGCAGCAGUAGGGAAUCUUCCGCAAUGGGCGCAAGCCUGACGCAGCAACGCCGCGUGAGUGAUGAAGGUCUUCGGAUCGUAAAACUCUGUUAUUAGGGAAGAACAUAUGUGUAAGUAACUGUGCACAUCUUGACGGUACCUAAUCAGAAAGCCACGGCUAACUACGUG